UACGGAGGGUGCAAGCGUUGUCCGGAAUCACUGGGCGUAAAGGGCGCGUAGGCGGCUCGGUAAGUAGGGGGUGAAAUCCUGCGGCUUAACCGCAGGGCUGCCUUCUAAACUGUCGAGCUUGAGCACGGUAGAGGCAGAUGGAAUUCCCGGUGUAGCGGUGGAAUGCGUAGAGAUCGGGAAGAACAUCAGUGGCGAAGGCGGUCUGCUGGGCCGAUACUGACGCUGAGGAGCGAAAGCGUGGGGAGCGAACAGG
rnacentral:rRNA from 1 species